UACGAAGGGGGCGAGCGUUGCUCGGAAUCACUGGGCGUAAAGCGCACGUAGGCGGAUUGCUAAGUCAGGGGUGAAAUCCUGGAGCUCAACUCCAGAACUGCCUUUGAUACUGGCAACCUUGAGUCCGGGAGAGGUGAGUGGAACUGCGAGUGUAGAGGUGAAAUUCGUAGAUAUUCGCAAGAACACCAGUGGCGAAGGCGGCUCACUGGCCCGGUACUGACGCUGAGGUGGCGAAAGCGUGGGGAGCAAACAGGA
rnacentral:rRNA from 1 species